GGGGCACAUGACGGCGGCGCCCGCCCCGCCCCGCGCCCGCCCCCUGCCCGGCCGCGGGGGAGGAGACGGGGAGGUUUUAAAAGCGAUUCGACCCCGCGGCGGGCCGGCCAGUGAGUGGGAUGGAGCGCGGUCGGCGACCGCCCCCGGCUUGUUUCGGCCCCGCCGCCCGCCCGCCUGUGUCUCCGCCGGCCGGGCCGGGGCGGCGGCCGGAGCCCCGAGUGCCGGCUCCCCUCCCCCGUGGCCCCAGACUGACCUCUGACCCCAGCACCGGACUUGACUGCUACCAAAGCCCCCAGCCGUACACUGACUGUCCUAUGCAACCCAGCCAGGCCCAGACCAGUGCCAGCUGCUGGCCCUGCCCGGUGCCCCCCCACCCCUGUGCCAUGGCCGGCUGGGGUUCCUGGGGAUGGGAUUUGCUGCCUGUCACAAAUCACAUUGCCAGGGAUUUCCAACCGACCCUGAGCCCUGCCUCUGGGGCCACCGCUGUCACUGCUUCCGCUGAGGACACUGACCCAGGGAUGGGGAUGGGGUGGCAGAGAGGCCUCCACCGCCUGUGUCUGGCCUGGGGAGCAGGGCUUAGCUGCUUGUGAGCAGGUCCACAGCAAGUCGUGUUCACAGUGGCUAAGUUCCGCCCCCCGGGGCCCCGCCUCCUCUGGCCCUGCCACCUCUCCCCUCCGCCUGCCUGUCCGACCUCCGGGCCUCUCUGGGCUCUGCCUCCCGUGCCUACUGAGCUGAAACACAGUUGAUUUGUGCAGACUGGCUCAGUUCAGCAGGAACAGGAGUCAAGCCCCCUUGGAGUCUUCGGCCCCUGCCUUCCUUGGGUGGGCCAGUCGCUGCCUGGGAGAAGAGAUGAGGACCCUGCCCUGGACCUGUGUCUGGAGGAGGAACUUGGGGACGAGUGGAGCCUGGGAUGGGAUGGGUGAACCCAGCUGUCUGCUGCAGGCCCCCUCCUCCAAUUCUGCACUUGGGGACCCUCACACGGUCCCAUCUCAGGCUGGGCUGUGUUCCCAGGGAGGAUGGGUAGGCAGGCGGGUGGCCAGCCUUUCCAUGAAAAAAGGAAGCCAGCUGUGUCCCCGCCUGGCCGACCCUCGGCCCCUCCUCUCCCAAGCCUGGUCGGGGGAUGGCUGGCUCGCAUCUUCCCAGCAGUCAGUUACCCAAGAGGAAGCUGCCUUGGGCCCCCAGACCGUUAAAUGCCAACUCCGGGCUUCCGGAACCAGGCUGGCCUGACCUGAACCUGCCUGGCCCCUUCUCCCUGGGCCCUGCGGCUUCCUAACUUGGGGGGGAGGAGCCAUGACGCCCUCCUGGCACGUGGGGCAGGGAAUGAGGUCCCUGUGGGCCCAAAGGACACAAGCAGGCCCUCUCAGUCCUUGGGUGGUCCCAGGGCAUGGACGCGUUGAGACUUUGUCCAUCAUCAGAUGGAAUGGGGCUCUUUUGGGGGUGAGACUGGGGAGGCAGAGUGAAGCCCCCCAGGCUGUCAGAGUUGGCUCAGUGUACCCCUGUUCCACUGGGGCAGGGGUAGACAGCAGCUUGGGGAAGUCUAUGCUGUGUGUCGAGCCUGUUGUUCAAUUAAAUAAAAGCUGCCCCCUGCCUCAUUCCUGAAGGUCUGGUGGUUUGUGAUUUAUUCUGGCCUCCAACCCUGGAGUUUCUGGCUUUUUGACUGGGGAGGGUUGAUUGGUCUGAAUUUACUGUCCUGGCAUCCUGGGCUCCUGACUUCACAGGAUGCCCAUUCCUGCCCCACCUGCUCUGAGGAAGGUGAUAAUUUUGUCACAUGGGUGGAAAGGGUGCCCUUGUCAUGGAAAGGUGACCUUGAGGAGUGUCCUUGGGAUGGGUGUUGACCCCACAUGAAACCCUGGGCUGGAGGGACUGACUUUCAGGGUUGGUGUGGUGACAGGGAGGACUGUUCUUGGAGGACUUAGAUGGGACAUGAUGAGGCAUGCCCCACAUCCAGGGCCGGGUGUGGGAGAGAAUGGGACCCAAUCUAAGCUGGUGGCUGGGGGUGACCCUGAGGGAAACACUGGACAUUUGGGGAUACCUGGGACCUGAAGGUUUUGAUCUAGUGACAUUUGGGGAUGACUUAGACGUAAGGGACAACUUGGGCUGGGGGUAAGAUUUGGGGUGUCUGGUAUCUGAGAAGGCUGGUGGGGAACUUGGGCUUGAGGUGUGUAUGUGGGCCCAAGGGGGACAUCUGGCUGUGACUGGGACCUGAGUCGCGCCCUAGGUCUGUGGGAAACAUCUAUCUGUAGAUGACUUUGAGAGGUGAGGGGCACAGUACGGGGCACCCCAGGUCUGAGGAUGUUUGGAGGCAGCUGGGACCACAAGGGCCAAAGCUGAUGUAGAGUGCUCAGAACUGCCACUCCUACCCUCCCAGGCCUACAGGCGGCACUAAGGAGCGUGCGGGCCAGCGUGGGGGUGGGGGGGGGUCUCCCCGCACUUACCUGCGGGAAUGCGUGAGGCGGGGCAGGAGGUGGGACCGCCUCCAACUGGUUCCCUCCAGCGCAGGGAGGGGCCAAGAACCAAUCGCCAGGCCCAGCGCCACCGAAGGCCCGCCCACUGCUGCGCGCAGGCCCCCGGCGCCCUCUAGCGGCCGGCUCCGCCCAGCCUCGCUCUGAGCCCCGCCCCUCCGGGAAGCCUCUGUCCUCGCCUGCCCCGGCCCUGACAGUGACCCAGACAGUCUGUCCCUCUGUCCGUCAGUCUCUAAAGACAGGAAGCCAGUAAAGGAAGGCAACCAAGGACCUUCUUGCCGUCCACCAGAUCCCUCACUCUAUUUGGGGACUGGGAGCCUCAUCCGCGGUGUAGGAGCCCAGACACGCCCCCCCAUUGACCCCGCCCACCAAGGCCUAGUCUAAGUCGAGUUCCCACCUUUGGGGGGCGUGUCUUCCCCACCCAGCGGCACCCAGCACCUGACACGCACCACCCCCGUGCUCAGAAACUUGCAAUUAACUCCAACAGCUAGUGCUGGAACCAGGGCACCCCCUAGUGGCCAUUCCCAGCCCUGCAUGGGCCAUGCAGCCCGGGAUGAGCAAUCAGUGGCCCUACCCCAGCAAGGUACUAAAUCUAGCUCUGUCUCUUUCUAAAACUGAGUGCCCUUUCUUAAACUUUGGAGCCUCAGUUUUCUCCUCUGUAAAAUAGGAAUGCUAAUCCUACCGACUCAUAGGGCUGUUAUGACAGGUGUUGUAACAGAUGACAGGUGUAAAGCGCGGGUGUCAGCCCCCGGCUUGCUCAUAGUGAGCUCUCUCUCCCUGUCUGCUAUCAUCCAUAUUGUUACCACUGGAGGAAACCAGCAGUGGCUCCCAUUGCACCCCUCACUUGAAGCUGUACCCAGAG